UGAAUGCUCAUCUUGUCUUUUUAACACAUUAAAACCCUAACUACAACCCUGAACUUUUAAAAAUGGUGGAAAUUAGAAUUAACAUUAGCAAAAUUUGAGUGGAAAGCAUUAUAAAAAGCAUGUUUACUCAGAAGCAAUCCACAUUGUAUCCAAGGAGACUUACAUCUAGUCGCGCGCUCUUUCCUCUUCCAGAUUCAAACAGAACGCGAAGAGCAAGUUACAACCAACCUACUGAGGUCACAGAGGACGAUUUGUUCAGAACAAUCUUUCCUACCUAAACGUUGAUAGUACGGAAAGUUUAUUCAGUUGGCAUCCCUAUAGAGUGCUUCGACAUACUUUUUGCCCUUUGUUUCAAGACGUUGAAAACAUCAAGACGUUUUAUACAUUUCUUUGCUAUUUAAAUUGUAAACUCCUAAGGAUAGUGAUCAGUCUUUAGCAUUUAUUUAUUCUUCCAAAUACACUGAUAGUGUUACAAUAUAUUAUCUAAAUAAAUCAUGUCUAA